rnacentral:lncRNA from 1 species
AUGACCGCUGAGCCCAUGAGCGAAAGCAAGUUGAAUACAUUGGUGCAGAAGCUUCAUGACUUUCUGGCACACUCAUCAGAGGAAUCUGAAGAAACAAGUUCUCCUCCAAGACUUGUGAUGAACCAAAGCACAGAUAAAGUCAGUGGGUCUGGCAAUAACUCUGAUAUGAUGGAAAACAGCAGGGAAGAGGGAGCUAGCUCUGCAGAAAAAUCCAAAUCGUCAGGAUCCUCACGAUCAAAGAGGAAACCUUCAAUUGUAACAAAGUAUGUAGAAUCUGAUGAUGAAAAACCUUUGGAUGAAACUGUAAAUGAAGAUGCUUCUAAUGAAAAUUCAGAAAAUGAUAUUACUAUGCAAAGCUUGCCAAAAGGUACAGUGAUUGUACAACCAGAGCCAGUGCUGAAUGAAGACAAAGAUGAUUUUAAAGGGCCUGAAUUUAGAAGCAGAAGUAAAAUGAAAACUGAAAAUCUCAAAAAACGCGGAGAAGAUGGGCUUCAUGGGAUUGUGAGCUGUACAGCUUGUGGACAACAGGUCAAUCAUUUUCAAAAAGAUUCCAUUUAUAGACAUCCUUCACUGCAAGUACUUAUUUGUAAGAAUUGCUUUAAAUAUUAUAUGAGUGAUGAUAUUAGCCGUGACUCAGAUGGAAUGGAUGAACAGUGUAGAUGGUGUGCAGAAGGUGGAAACUUAAUUUGUUGUGACUUUUGCCAUAAUGCCUUCUGUAAGAAGUGCAUUCUUCGCAACCUUGGUCGAAAGGAGCUGUCUACAAUAAUGGAUGAAAACAACCAAUGGUAUUGCUACAUUUGCCACCCAGAGCCUUUGUUGGACUUGGUCACGGCAUGUAACAGCGUAUUUGAAAACUUAGAACAGUUGUUGCAACAAAAUAAGAAGAAGAUAAAAGUUGACAAUGAAAAGACUAGUAAAGUAUAUGAGCAUGCACCCAGAUUUUCUCCAAAGAAAAACAGUUCAAAUUGUAAUGGAGAAGAAAAGAAGUUAGAUGAUUCAUAUUCUGGUUCUGUAACCUACUCUUAUUCAGCACUAAUUGUGCCCAAGGACAUGAUUAAGAAGGCAAAAAAACUGAUUGAGACUACUGCCAACAUGAAUUCCAGUUACAUUAAAUUUUUGAAGCAGGCAACAGAUAAUUCAGAAAUCAAUUCUGCUACAAAGUUACGUCAGCUUAAGGCUUUUAAGUCUGUGUUGGCUGAUAUCAAGAAAGCUCAUCUUGCAUUAGAAGAAGAUUUGAAUUCAGAGAUUCAAGCUUUGGAUGCUGUAAACAAAGAGAAAAAUACCGAAGAGCAUAAAGUCAUAGAUGCUAAGUCUGAAACAAAAGUAAGAAAAGGAGAAAAACCUUGUGUUUUGGAAAGGAAGGAUAUUUCAAAAUCAGAAGUUCCAGAAGACAUUUUUGAAAAUCUUGAGACUGCUAUGGAAGUUCAGAGUUCAUCAGAGUAUCAGGGAGAUGGCAACAGUGGAACUGAACAAGAACUGGAGACUUCUAUAAAAUUAAAUAUUACUUCAAAAGACAACAGAGGAGGUGCUGAUUGUCAGGAAGUUCCACAAGAUAAAGAUAGCUAUAAAAGUUCUUGUCUGAACCCUAAGCCAGAGAACUGUGAACUUGAACAGGAAAAGAAUGAUAAUGAGCAUUUGGCUAAAAGUGAAGUUCCGUUACUUUCAGAAGAAUCUGAUCUUCGAAGAUCCCCGCGUGUAAAGACUACACCUUUGAGGCGACAGACAGAAACCAACCGUACAACAUCUAAUUCAGAUGAAGAAAAUAAUGAAACAGUUAAGGAGCAACAAAAACUUACAGUUCCAAUGAGAAAAAAGGAUAAGCGGAAUUCUUCUGACAGUGCUAUAGAUAAUCCUAAACCUAAUAAAUUGCCUAAAUCUAAGCAGUCAGAGAUUGUGGAUCACAUUUCAGAUUCUGAAGAAAUGCUGGCAAUCCUCAAAGACGUGCCCAGUAUGAGUCACAGUUCUUCAGAUACUGAUAUUAAUGAACCUCAUACAAAUAACAAGAAGACUUUUUACUCAGAGAUUCAAAGAGGGAAAGAUGAUAAAAGAAAAAGGAAACGAAAAAGUUCUACUUCUGGCUCAGAUUUUGAUAUUAAGAAAGGUAAAUCAGUUAAAAAGUCUAUAAUUUCUAAAAAGAAACGGCAAAACCAGUCUGAAUCUUCUAAUUAUGACUCAGAAUUAGAAAAAGAGAUAAAGAGAAUGAGUAAAAUUGGGACUGCCAGAACAACCAAAAAAAGAGUUCCAAAUAAAGAAGAUUAUGAUUCUUCUGAAGAUGAAAAACACAACAAACAAGGAAUGGAUAAUCAAGGUCAUAAAAGUUUGAGGACUGCACAGGAAGGAUCAUCUGAUGAUGCUGAAAGGAAACAAGAGAGAGAGAAUUUCUCUUCAGCAGAAGGCACAGUUGAUAAAGACAAGACCAACAUGGAAUUGAGAGAUUGCCUCUCUAAGAAGCAGCAGCCUGAUGUUUCCUCAGAGAGUGCUGAUAAGCUUUGUUCUGGGAAAGAGGAGAGUUUUAAUUCUCCAGAAGAUAAAAAGUUUGCUGAAUCUAAAGGAAAGAGUAAGCACCAGCGAACCAGAAUGUGUAAGAAAAUACUGGGUGGCUUAUGUGAUGUUGCUGAGAAGUUCUCAGAGAAAGAACAGAGUGAUGAAUCCUCUGAAGAUGAUAACGAGCAGAGCAAAAAGGAAAUUGAAGAAAAAGAAAAGAAGACUGCAGACUUGAGUGAAAAAGUGAUGGAACAAGAGUAUGAAUCAUCAUCUGAUACUACUGAGAAAUUACCUGAGGGAGAAGAAAUUUGUCACUUUCCUAAAAGGAUAAAACAAAAUAAGAGCUCAGCUGAUGGGGAAAAGAAAUGCAAAAAAAGAAAAGAUAAAGCUUCUAAAAAGAAGGGUGAAUUAUCUGAUAAUUCUGAGAAGUUACCAGGGAAAAGAGAAAGUUGUGAUUCUUCAGAAGAUAAGAGGAGUAAGAAUGGAACAUCGAGUAGAGAGAAGAAAAGGUUCAACUUGCCUGAAAAGAGUUCGAGGAAGAGACAGGAUUGUUCAUCAUCUGAUACUGAAAAAUAUUCCAUGAAGGAAGAUGGCUGUGAUUUUUCUGAUAAGAGACCAAAAAGAAUAGAAUUAAGGGAAAGAAGGAAUUUAAAUUCAAAUAGAAAUAGCAAGGAAGUACAAAGUGGCUCAUCAUCUUCUGAUGUUGAGGAAAGUUCUGAAGAUAAUAAAAACCUGAAGAAACAAAGAACUUCAGCUAAAAAGAAGGCAGGCAGUAUGAAGGAGAAAAUGAGAAACUCCUUGAGAACAAGCACUAAAAGGAAGCAGGCUGACAUUACUUCCUCAUCUUCUUCUGAUAUAGGAGAUGAUGAUCAGAAAUCUGUAGGUGAGGGGAGCAGUGAUGAGCAGAAAAUUAAGCCUGUGACUGAAAAUUUAGUGCUGUCGUCACAUACUGGAUUUUGUCAAUCUUCAGGAGACGAAGCCUUAUCUAAAUCAGUGCCUGUCACAGUGGAUGAUGACGACGAUGACAAUGAUCCUGAAAAUAGAAUUGCCAAGAAGAUGCUUUUAGAAGAAAUUAAAGCCAAUCUUUCCUCCGAUGAGGAUGGAUCUUCAGAUGAGUCAGAAGAAGGGAAGAAAAGAACUGGAAAACACAAUGAAGAAAACCCUGGAGAUGAGGAAGUAAAAAAUCAAGCCAUUUCUGAAUCAGAUUCAGAUUCUGAAGAAUCUAAGAAGCCAAGAUACAGACAUAGGCUUUUGAGACACAAGCUGAGUCUGAGUGAUGGAGAAUCUGGAGAAGAAAAAAAGAUGAAGCCUAAAGAGCACAAAGAAGCCAAAAGCAGAAAUAGAAGGAAGGUGAGUAGUGAAGAUUCUGAAGAUUCUGAUUUUCAGGAAUCUGGAGUUAGUGAAGAAGUUAGUGAAUCUGAAGAUGAACAACGGCCCAGAACAAGAUCUACGAAGAAAGCAGAGUUGGAAGAAAAUCAGAGAAGUUACAAACAGAAGAAGAAAAGGCGACGCAUUAAGGUUCAAGAAGACUCAUCUAGUGAAAACAAGAGUAAUUCUGAAGAAGAUAAAGAAGAAGAUGAAGAAGAAGAUGAAGAAGAAGAUGAAAAUGAUGAUUCGAAGUCUCCUGGAAAAGGCAGAAAGAAAAUUCGGAAGAUUCUUAAAGAUGAUAAGCUAAGAACAGAAACACAAAAUGCUCUUAAGGAAGAAGAAGAGAGGCGAAAACGUAUUGCUGAGAGAGAGCGAGAGCGAGAAAAAUUGAGAGAGGUGAUAGAAAUUGAAGAUGCUUCACCGACUAAGUGUCCAAUAACAACGAAGUUGGUUUUAGAUGAAGAUGAAGAAACCAAAGAACCUUUAGUGCAGGUUCAUAGAAAUAUGGUUAUCAAAUUGAAACCACAUCAAGUAGAUGGUGUUCAAUUUAUGUGGGAUUGCUGCUGUGAGUCUGUUAAAAAAACAAAGAAAUCUCCAGGUUCAGGAUGCAUUCUUGCCCACUGCAUGGGCCUUGGUAAGACUUUACAGGUGGUAAGUUUUCUUCAUACAGUUCUUUUGUGUGACAAAUUGGAUUUCAGCACAGCUUUGGUGGUUUGUCCUCUUAAUACUGCUUUGAAUUGGAUGAAUGAAUUUGAGAAGUGGCAGGAGGGAUUAAAAGAUGAUGAGAAGCUUGAGGUCUCUGAAUUAGCAACUGUGAAACGUCCUCAAGAAAGAAGCUACAUGCUACAGAGGUGGCAAGAAGAUGGUGGUGUUAUGAUCAUAGGCUAUGAGAUGUACAGAAAUCUUGCUCAAGGAAGGAAUGUGAAGAGUAGGAAACUUAAAGAAAUAUUUAACAAAGCAUUGGUUGAUCCAGGACCUGACUUUGUUGUUUGUGAUGAAGGCCAUAUUCUAAAAAAUGAAGCAUCUGCUGUUUCAAAAGCUAUGAAUUCUAUACGAUCAAGGAGGAGAAUUAUUUUAACAGGAACACCACUUCAAAAUAACCUAAUUGAGUAUCAUUGCAUGGUUAACUUUAUCAAAGAAAAUUUGCUUGGAUCCAUUAAGGAAUUCAGGAAUCGGUUUAUAAAUCCAAUCCAAAAUGGUCAGUGUGCAGAUUCUACCAUGGUAGAUGUCAGAGUAAUGAAAAAACGAGCUCACAUUCUCUAUGAAAUGUUAGCUGGAUGUGUUCAGAGGAAAGAUUAUACAGCAUUAACAAAGUUUUUGCCUCCAAAGCAUGAGUAUGUUUUAGCUGUGAGAAUGACUCCUAUUCAGUGCAAACUCUAUCAAUACUACUUAGAUCACUUAACAGGUGUAGGUAAUAGCAGUGAAGGCGGAAGAGGAAAGGCCGGUGCAAAACUUUUCCAAGAUUUUCAAAUGUUAAGUAGAAUCUGGACUCACCCAUGGUGUUUGCAGCUGGACUACAUUAGUAAAGAAAAUAAGGGAUAUUUUGAUGAAGACAGUAUGGAUGAAUUUAUAGCUUCAGAUUCCGAUGAAACCUCCAUGAGUUUAAGCUCUGAUGAUUAUACAAAAAAGAAAAAAGCAAAGGGGAAAAAGGGAAAAAAAGAUAGUAGCUCAAGUGGAAGUGGCAGUGACAAUGAUGUUGAAGUGAUUAAAGUCUGGAAUUCAAGAUCUCGAGGAGGUGGUGAAGGAAAUGUGGAUGAAACAGGAAACAAUCCCUCAGUUUCUUUAAAACUGGAAGAAAGUGAAGGGAAGUGGCUCAGAAACAUUGAUUAUUAUCGUUUAGAUGGCUCUACAACUGCUCAGUCAAGGAAAAAAUGGGCUGAAGAAUUUAAUGAUGAAACUAAUGUGAGAGGGCGAUUAUUUAUCAUUUCUACCAAAGCAGGAUCUCUUGGAAUUAAUCUGGUAGCUGCUAAUCGAGUGAUUAUAUUUGAUGCUUCUUGGAAUCCAUCUUAUGACAUCCAGAGUAUAUUCAGAGUUUAUCGCUUUGGACAAACUAAACCUGUCUAUGUAUAUAGGUUCUUAGCUCAGGGAACCAUGGAAGAUAAGAUUUAUGAUCGGCAAGUAACUAAGCAGUCACUGUCUUUUCGAGUUGUUGAUCAACAGCAAGUUGAACGUCAUUUUACCAUGAAUGAGCUGACUGAACUUUAUACCUUUGAGCCAGACUUGUUAGAUGACCCUAAUUCAGAAAAGAAGAAGAAAAGGGAUACUCCCAUGCUGCCAAAGGACACCAUACUUGCAGAACUUCUUCAAAUACAUAAAGAACAUAUUGUAGGAUAUCAUGAACAUGAUUCUCUUUUGGACCACAAAGAAGAAGAAGAGUUGACUGAAGAAGAAAGAAAAGCAGCUUGGGCUGAAUAUGAAGCAGAGAAGAAGGGACUGACCAUGCGUUUCAACAUACCAACUGGGACCAAUUUACCCCCUGUCAGUUUUAACUCUCAAACUCCUUAUAUUCCUUUCAAUUUGGGAGCCCUAUCAGCAAUGAGUAAUCAACAGCUGGAGGACCUCAUUAAUCAAGGAAGAGAAAAAGUUGUGGAAGCAACAAACAGUGUGACAGCAGUGAGGAUUCAGCCUCUUGAAGAUAUAAUUUCAGCUGUAUGGAAAGAAAACAUGAAUCUCUCAGAGGCCCAGGUACAGGCAUUAGCAUUAAGUAGACAAGCCAGCCAGGAGCUUGAUGUCAAACGAAGAGAGGCAAUCUACAAUGACGUGUUGACAAAACAACAGAUGUUAAUCAGCUGUGUUCAGCGAAUACUUAUGAACCGAAGGCUCCAGCAACAGUACAAUCAGCAGCAGCAGCAGCAAAUGACUUAUCAACAAGCAACGCUGGGUCACCUCAUGAUGCCAAAGCCUCCGAAUUUAAUCAUGAAUCCUUCUAACUACCAGCAGAUUGAUAUGAGAGGAAUGUAUCAGUCAGUGGCUGGUGGUAUGCAGCCACCACCAUUACAACGUGCACCACCCCCAAUGAGAAGCAAAAAUCCAGGACCUUCCCCAGGGAAAUCAAUGUGAUUUUGCACUAAAAGCUUAAAAGAUUGUUAAAAUCAUAGAAAGAUCUUUUAUUUUUUUAGGAAUCAAUGACUUAACAGAACUCAACUGUAUAAAUAGUUUGGUCCCCUUAAAUGCCAAUCUUCCAUAUUAGUUUAAAAAUUUUUUUUAAUAGGGCAUACCAUUUCUUCCUGACAUUUGUCAGUGAUGUUGCCUAGAAUCUUCUUACACACAUUGAGUACAGAAGAUCUUUCAAAUUGUUUUCAGUGAAAACAAGUCCUUCCAUAACAGUAACAACUCCACAGGUUUCCUCUCUAAAUUUUUAUGCCUGCUUUUAGUGACCAUAAAAUUGUCAUAAAUUAAUGAAUUUAUGAAAGAAUACUGAUUUAUAUAUUCAUUCUUUACAUAUAAAGACACACAGCUGAGUUCUUAGAGUUGAUUCCUCAAGUUAUGGAAUACUUUUGUACUUAUCCAUUUCUUGACUAA